rnacentral:rRNA from 1 species
GACGUAGGGUGCAAGCGUUGUCCGGAUUUAUUGGGCGUAAAGAGCUCGUAGGCGGCUUGUUGCGUCGACUGUGAAAACCCGCGGCUUAACUGCGGGCUUGCAGUUGAUACGGGCAGGCUAGAGUUCGGUAGGGGAGACUGGAAUUCCUGGUGUAGCGGUGAAAUGCGCAGAUAUCAGGAGGAACACCGGUGGCGAAGGCGGGUCUCUGGGCCGAUACUGACGCUGAGGAGCGAAAGCGUGGGGAGCGAACAGG